rnacentral:rRNA from 1 species
GAUGUCGAUUUGGAGGUUGUGCCCUUGAGGCGUGGCUUCCGGAGCUAACGCGUUAAAUCGACCGCCUGGGGAGUACGGCCGCAAGGUUAAAACUCAAAUGAAUUGACGGGGGCCCGCACAAGCGGUGGAGCAUGUGGUUUAAUUCGAUGCAACGCGAAGAACCUUACCUACUCUUGACAUCCAGAGAACUUUCCAGAGAUGGAUUGGUGCCUUCGGGAACUCUGAGACAGGUGCUGCAUGGCUGUCGUCAGCUCGUGUUGUGAAAUGUUGGGUUAAGUCCCGCAACGAGCGCAACCCUUAUCCUUUGUUGCCAGCGGUUCGGCCGGGAACUCAAAGGAGACUGCCAGUGAUAAACUGGAGGAAGGUGGGGAUGACGUCAAGUCAUCAUGGCCCUUACGAGUAGGGCUACACACGUGCUACAAUGGCGUAUACAAAGAGAAGCGAACCUGCGAGGGCAAGCGGACCUCAUAAAGUACGUCGUAGUCCGGAUUGGAGUCUGCAACUCGACUCCAUGAAGUCGGAAUCGCUAGUAAUCGUAGAUCAGAAUGCUACGGUGAAUACGUUCCCGGGCCUUGUACACACCGCCCGUCACACCAUGGGAGUGGGUUGCAAAAGAAGUAGGUAGCUUAACCUUCGGGAGGGCGCUUACCACUUUGUGAUUCAUGACUGGGGUGAAGUCGUAACAAGG